rnacentral:rRNA from 1 species
GUGGGGAAUCUUAGACAAUGGGGGCAACCCUGAUCUAGCCAUGCCGCAUGAGUGAUGAAGGCCUUAGGGUUGUAAGGCUCUUUCAGUGGGGAAGAUAAUGACGGUACCCACAGAAGAAGCCCCGGCUAACUCCGUGCCAGCAGCCGCGGUAAUACGGAGGGGGCUAGCGUUGUUCGGAAUUACUGGGCGUAAAGCGCACGUAGGCGGAUCGGAAAGUUGGGGGUGAAAUCCCAGGGCUCAACCCUGGAACUGCCUUCAAAACUAUCGGUCUGGAGUCCGAGAGAGGUGAGUGGAAUUCCGAGUGUAGAGGUGAAAUUCGUAGAUAUUCGGAGGAACACCAGUGGCGAAGGCGGCUCACUGGCUCGGUACUGACGCUGAGGUGCGAAAGCGUGGGGAGCAAACAGGAUUAGAAACCCGGGUAGUCC